AUGAAAAUGGCAAAUAUUUUGCCUUGUUUCAAAAAAAAAAAAAAACUGAGUAAGACAUGUUGGUAUUGUAAAGAACCUUGGAACAGAGAACAUAGAUGUAGACAAGGCAGAACUCUCCAUAUCAUGCAGGAGAUUGAUGAUGAUACAGUUGAAUUAGAGGAACAAGAGACUCCACCUACACCAGAUCAAGCUUAUCACACAACUCCUAAUACCCCAGAACACCCAGAGCAAAAAUCUGAAGUUAUGUUGAUAUAUUGUCAUGCGAUAGCUGGCACAGGAGGCCCUGCUACAUUUUCACUGCUGAUUAAAAUGGGGGGACAUCAAGCAGUGGCGCUUGUGGGUAGUGGCAGUUCACACACUUUUAUUAACUACGACUUUGCUCUUACUGCUAACUGUCAUUUACACAGUACACCAGUUAAGAAGGUCAGUGUGGCUGGUAGGGAAAAUUACAGUUUACUGCCAUUGUCCCUCUCACUACCUAUUUCAUUCAAGGAAAGAAGUUUUCUUCAGUCUUUAAAACCCUGCCCCUCCACAGUUAUGGUAUCAUUUUGGGAUGUGAUUGGAUGA
rnacentral:rRNA from 1 species